UACUUAAUUUUACAAUUGUGGGUGACUUACUAUUCUUUUAAUGUAUGACCACCAGUUUGAGCAACCCACUGGGUUGAAGGCUUUUUUACGGAUUGGACCAGCAGUCUCCGGCGACGCAUCCUCGUCAGAUGCUGACGUUGCAGUCUUCCCAAUAGGUUAGACAGGAACUAUUGGAUGUUCAAUAGACUGUCGUGUCAAAGGACCUGCCGGCAUAUAUUUGUGUAAAAAUAACGUUAUUGUAGAUUGUUUUAUCGUUGAAUGGAGGGCAACAUCGAUUUUUUUCUGCUUCGUACACCUGUAUAACCACCCAUUAUGAAACACUGAGUUAAAG